rnacentral:lncRNA from 1 species
CGAUAUAAGCAGAGUUAAGUGCAAUCAGUCAUUAUUAACUGUUAUGGAAGAUUUUUUAAUUUAAUAGUGAUGACGAAUGACCAUUGGACUUAUUUUUAUGUCUAUAAAUGUUGAUUAUAGUUUACUGAUAUUGAGUUUAGACUAUAUUAGAUUUUUAUUGUAACCUCAAAUGUUAAUAUUGCAUAGAUUCUGUUACUUCUUACUUUCAUUUGGUUAUACAUAAUUCUUGCUAUAUUAGUAUUAUUAUACCAUGAUCCUUUAUUGGAAAACCCAAAAGCCUCAUUAACUUUGAUUGUUUCUUGGUGAUAUUUAAAUGAAUCUUCCGCUCAUUCAUUCAUCUUCUUAAAGUCUGAAUGUGUGAUGUUCAAUCUGUCAUUUUGUUGACAGGUUGGAUUAUCUUCUCGCCUGACUAAGUACCUCACAUGUGAUGUUGCAACUCUUUAAGAUGCUGUCAUUCGGGUAGUCAUUGCUUUGGCUUAAGAUUUUGUUUCAGCCGCAAAUACGUUUAAUCUUUUGUUAGGUAAUUUAGCAAAUAUUAGUUUUCCUUUUUCCUGGCUGAGUUUGCUAUCACUCUACUUUUGACUUGUUGGAAGCUUAUUUACGUGGUAGUGACUUCAGUUUCCAGAUUAUGUCCAUUACUUCAUGGAAAACUUGCAAAAAGUUGUCUGACAUAAAUUACAUCUGGAUUAAGGCAUGAAAAAGAUGUUGAAUUGUGUUUUUCUUGGGUCUUAUAUAUCGAUUCUAUGUAAAUUAAAAUCUACAACACUCUUUUCUAAUGGAAUUAAAAAAAAUAUACUUGUUUUGUGUAUUGUGUAGAAUAUUUAACUAGAAGGAUGUCGGACAUUUGCACCACUCUAUUGGGGAAUGAGGCCGAUAAUGUGCUUAGUUGUAUGGUUCUCCCUGAUAAUUGAGUACCACCAAUAUAACACUACACAUUGUUUAAUUGCCACGAGGUGAUUGUAUUUGUCUUCUCGAGUUACCCUUCCGUUAUGCCAUUUUAUUCCCUAAUGAGAAUUGCGGUCAUUUAGAUUAUAGAAGUAGAGCUUCACGAAAUUAUCAUGGAUGCUUAUGGGAAACCUAGGAUCUUCCUCCCUUGAGUUUUAGUUGUUGGCUAUGAAAUUUUUGUAUAUAAGGGAAGUCAGUAAUGUUCACAUUAUCUUUACAUGUGGAUAGAACUUAAAAAAUUAGUGAAUAAUCUAUAUACAAAUAUAAAGCUAAAAAAAUAAAAUCUGAUGUGGAACCUCCCCGUGCUCAGGGAUGUACUAUUUAUCUCUUUUCUCCCUUUUUGGAAAUUUUCACGUUUGCAAGAUUCUUAAAAAACCUACAAAAAGAAAAAACAUGUCGCUUCUGAAUUACUGUAUAAUUUUUUUUCAUGUUUAUUCGGUUUGGUGAUUUAUACACAGUUUCUUGCCUUGGUGCAGUUUAUGCAAUAGAGCAGAGAUGAGCAACUUCGUCAAGGUUGGAUUUCCCUUUGGAUCAGUAGAUCAGUAUGUGUUUUCCUCAACUCUCAGUAUAUUUUUUCUCUACAUUAUUACCUCCACUUUAGUUGUAAAAAAAUAAAUUGUCCUCUCUAAGCUUUCAAAUUAAUAUAGUAAAAUCUAUCCUGAAACGCAAAUUUGGUUCCUUACUUCUUUGAUGAAAAUCAAAAUAAAUAUGUUAGGAAUUAUGUUAAGAUAUGUUUUCAUAACGAUUUUAGAAGAUCUUUAGUUUUGCAAAUUGUCUUGCACUAAAUACAACUAUUACAUGCAUUACCUCUAAAAUUUGACUCGGAUGACUGGAUUGAUUUACUGGUUGAUAAACAUAUGUAAUUUUCAUGUUUGAUGGUAACGUUAAGCCUCAUUGCAACCACAAAACAUGUUUCUGAUUCAUUUGUUUAAUCGAGUUUUUACUGUCAGAUGUUUGCAUUGAUUUCCUCUUUUUAGGUAUUAGCAAUCGCUCUUUACGAUCAAGUUUUGGUUCUCUCAGUCAACCAUGGUGAGCAACACUAAUCUAUCCAUUUGUGCCUUUUGAUUUCAACUGCUCUUUAAUUUUUAUGAUUGUUGUAUAUCAGUUUUGGUCGCACUUAUUUGUAUAAAGAGAUAAGUUAUCGCUUUGAGGAAAGCUCUUCUCAACCUCAAUGGGUUUCACUUUUCAGGACAAAGAUCUCUGAUGUAUCUUAAUAAUGGAUUGGUGGACUUUAAAACCUUCAGACGGCAUCACCUGACAAUUAUGUGAAGUUUAUGUGAAGUUCAUAGCAGGAAGCUUGAAAUAUGAAAUGUGCGCCUAAAUAAAAUAUGGAGGGACUGUAUAUUGGUGAUUUUAUACAAACGUGUGGGGGC